AACUAAUGAACUUGAACAAGUAUGUAUUUUGAAAAUACAAAAAAGAAGUAAAGUCUUCUAUUAGUUU
rnacentral:tRNA from 1 species